rnacentral:rRNA from 1 species
CUAGGUACACGUACAGAUUGAUCUGGCUCAGAAAUCCUAACCCGGGAACCCCGAAAGUUUAGGGGCGCACCGGAGAUUCUGUCUGGGAAACUGCCCGAUGGAGGGGGAUAACUACUGGAAACGGUAGCUAAUACCGCAUAACGUCGCAAGACCAAAGAGGGGGACCUUCGGGCCUCUUGCCAUCGGAUGUGCCCAGAUGGGAUUAGCUAGUAGGUGGGGUAAAGGCUCACCUAGGCGACGAUCCCUAGCUGGUCUGAGAGGAUGACCAGCCACACUGGAACUGAGACACGGUCCAGACUCCUACGGGAGGCAGCAGUGGGGAAUAUUGCACAAUGGGCGCAAGCCUGAUGCAGCCAUGCCGCGUGUAUGAAGAAGGCCUUCGGGUUGUAAAGUACUUUCAGCGGGGAGGAAGGGAGUAAAGUUAAUACCUUUGCUCAUUGACGUUACCCGCAGAAGAAGCACCGGCUAACUCCGUGCCAGCAGCCGCGGUAAUACGGAGGGUGCAAGCGUUAAUCGGAAUUACUGGGCGUAAAGCGCACGCAGGCGGUUUGUUAAGUCAGAUGUGAAAUCCCCGGGCUCAACCUGGGAACUGCAUCUGAUACUGGCAAGCUUGAGUCUCGUAGAGGGGGGUAGAAUUCCAGGUGUAGCGGUGAAAUGCGUAGAGAUCUGGAGGAAUACCGGUGGCGAAGGCGGCCCCCUGGACGAAGACUGACGCUCAGGUGCGAAAGCGUGGGGAAGCAAACAGGAUUAGAUACCCUGGUAGUCCACGCCGUAAACGAUGUCGACUUGGAGGUUGUGCCCUUGAGGCGUGGCUUCCGGAGCUAACGCGUUAAGUCGACCGCCUGGGGAGUACGGCCGCAAGGUUAAAACUCAAAUGAAUUGACGGGGGCCCGCACAAGCGGUGGAGCAUGUGGUUUAAUUCGAUGCAACGCGAAGAACCUUACCUGGUCUUGACAUCCACGGAAGUUUUCAGAGAUGAGAAUGUGCCUUCGGGAACCGUGAGACAGGUGCUGCAUGGCUGUCGUCAGCUCGUGUUGUGAAAUGUUGGGUUAAGUCCCGCAACGAGCGCAACCCUUAUCCUUUGUUGCCAGCGGUCCGGCCGGGAACUCAAAGGAGACUGCCAGUGAUAAACUGGAGGAAGGUGGGGAUGACGUCAAGUCAUCAUGGCCCUUACGACCAGGGCUACACACGUGCUACAAUGGCGCAUACAAAGAGAAGCGACCUCGCGAGAGCAAGCGGACCUCAUAAAGUGCGUCGUAGUCCGGAUUGGAGUCUGCAACUCGACUCCAUGAAGUCGGAAUCGCUAGUAAUCGUGGAUCAGAAUUCCACGGAGAAUACGUUCCCGGGCUUUGUACACGCCCCCCAUCUCACCCCAGGAGCCCUUUAGGUUUGUUCCUGGCUCAAAAAUUCGUAACAAGUAACCAAUAGAGUUAACCC